rnacentral:rRNA from 1 species
CACGUAGGGCGCAAGCGUUGUCCGGAAUUAUUGGGCGUAAAGAGCUCGUAGGCGGUCUGUUGCGUCCGCUGUGAAAACUCGGGGCUUAACCCCGAGCCUGCAGUGGAUACGGGCAGACUAGAGGUAGGUAGGGGAGAAUGGAAUUCCCGGUGUAGCGGUGAAAUGCGCAGAUAUCGGGAGGAACACCAGUGGCGAAGGCGGUUCUCUGGGCCUUACCUGACGCUGAGGAGCGAAAGCGUGGGAGCGAACAGG